UAGGAAGACACCUACUUUUAUUUACAGAAGGGAAAGAUGAAUGGAACAUCAUCGAGGAUCUUGCAGGAGCCCUCUCUGAUAGAGGGAAAGCCUGUAGACCAUUUUCUGUUCUUUCUCUUGGCCACAGACAUUCCUUUCAACAUGUGCUGACCUUCUGCUUGAAGGUCUCCUUGAGAACAUUGUCUCAGAAAUCUCUGUUGCAAUAUUUGAACGGAUCACUCAAUGCUUUUCACUGUUAAAUUUUCUCUACCGUCUCACCUUAGGCAAUAUAAAGUCCUGGUUCACUCUCAGGAACGAGAGCUGACCCAGUUAAGGGAGAAGUUACGGGAAGGGAGAGAUGCCUCCCGCUCAUUGAAUGAGCAUCUCCAGGCCCUCCUCACUCCGGAUGAGCCGGACAAGUCCCAGGGGCAGGACCUCCAAGAACAGCUGGCUGAGGGGUGUAGACUGGCACAGCACCUUGUCCAAAAGCUCAGCCCAGAAAAUGACGAAGAUGAGGAUGAAGAUGUUCAAGUUGAGGAGGAUGAGAAAGUACUGGAAUCAUCUGCCCCCAGGUAACAUUGAAUACUCAGGAGCAAGUAAUGGGUGGUAACAUAUGAAAAUGUCUAGGAGGCACGCCCUCUCUGGCAUCUAUGAUGGGCCAAAAGCCCGCAUUCCCUUGGCCACAGUAUGUGAAAUUCAACCCAGCUUAGACACAGGGUGCGGCAGCUGUUGUGUUUCUCUAUGUGUGCCAAGUGUCAUGUCUGUACCAUACAGGGAUAGCUGAGUCUUCAUCCUCUUCAGCUCCUAUCUGUCCAGUGCACUGAACACCAGCUGCUCUCUUCCUCUCUGGCUCCCAUGGCAGCGAAGCUCUGUUGCAGAGAGAAGAGGAUUGCCUGUUCCCUCUUAAAGGGAACCUCCAUUUGUUUUCUGGGACCACUCUCUUAAUGCCGCUUGUCAAAA
rnacentral:lncRNA from 1 species